rnacentral:rRNA from 1 species
CUACGGGAGGCAGCAGUGGGGAAUAUUGGACAAUGGGGGAAGCCCUGAUCCAGCAAUGUCGCGUGUGUGAAGAAGGCCUGCGGGUUGUAAAGCACUUUCGGUUGGGAGGACUGCUUCUAGCACUAAUAUUGUUGGAAGUUGACGUUACCUUCAGAAGAAGCACCGGCUAACUCCGUGCCAGCAGCCGCGGUAAUACGGAGGGUGCAUGCGUUAAUCGGAAUUACUGGGCGUAAAGCGCGCGUAGGCGGCUAGAUCAGUCGGGUGUGAAAGCCCCGGGCUUAACCUGGGAACUGCAUCCGAUACUGUCUAGCUUGAGUACAGGAGAGGAGAGUGGAAUUCCACAUGUAGCGGUGAAAUGCGUAGAUAUGUGGAGGAACACCAAUGGCGAAGGCAGCUCUCUGGCCUGAUACUGACGCUGAGGUGCGAAAGCGUGGGGAGCAAACAGGAUUAGAUACCCUAGUAGUC